rnacentral:rRNA from 1 species
AGAUUGAACGCUGGCGGCAUGCCUUACACAUGCAAGUCGAACGGCAGCACGGGAGCAAUCCUGGUGGCGAGUGGCGAACGGGUGAGUAAUACAUCGGAACGUGCCCAAUCGUGGGGGAUAACGCAGCGAAAGCUGUGCUAAUACCGCAUAAGAUCUACGGAUGAAAGCGAGGGGAUCGCAAGACCUUGCGCGAAUGGACGCGGCCGAUGGCAGUAUUAGGUAGUUGGUGAGGUAAGCUCACAGCCUUGAUCUGUAGCUGGU